GGCAGGAAGCCUAGACAAGGGUUCUGUACUCUGAAGGAAGUCAGAUGAAUUUCAGUAAGGAAAUUCAGUAACUAGUGAUAAUGUUGCCAUCACCAGCUGUCUACUAAUACAUGAAUAACAAGUACUUAGAAAGAAUUGGAGAGGCAGAAGGGAUGACACAGCUAUCUCACACCGGUAUGCAUAGUCACGGCUUAGGGAGGCACAAAGCAAAGUCUGUGACUGGAGGUGCCACAGUUCUCAAAGAGUACACUGCCUUCGGCUGAGAGGGGCAUUAAUACAGAGGACUGACUCCAUCCUCUGCUCGCCAUCAUCCUUCCCAGGUGCAUUCAUCAAGAGAGAAAGAUGGGAGAGGAAGCUUACCUUUCUGGUUAAGACAGAGAGAAUAACCGCAUUUUUCUUGUGCAGUGACAGAGAGCUGGAAGAAGGGGUUGUUCCUCUACUACAUUUUCAUCCAUUAAAAAAAAAGAAAAAAGAAAAAAGAAAAAAAAUAGGAAUGGACUGGAAAACCUUAAGAGAAAAAGAAAAAGAAAAAAAACCACAGGAAUCACUGCUUCCAUUCAGGCAAAAAAAAAAGGGGGGGGGAUCAUUACAAACAUCCCUAGCAGACAUGUUACACUGCUCAACACCAGUUUUCUUACCAUAUGAAACCAUCUAACACAGUUUAGUGAAGACCCAGGAAAAGAUGAAAUACUAAGUGGGAUGAGCUCUCCCCUGCUUUUAAAAAAUCAAACUAAACAUGAAGAAAGAUAUCAAACUGUUCACAACUCUGCAUUCCACAAGCUUAAACGAUAAAUGUAUUCAACCAAGUCAGUCUUUGAAACUUUUCAUUUAGCUCUGUGAAGAUAAAGAACAGAUCAGCAUUUUCAUUAAAAAAAAAUGUCAUGGCUCAUUCCUUUCUGUUAUUGAAGAGAAUGCAGCAACAUCUUUCA